rnacentral:rRNA from 1 species
GAUGAACGCUGGCGGCGUGCCUAAUACAUGCAAGUCGAGCGAACGGACGAGAAGCUUGCUUCUCUGAUGUUAGCGGCGGACGGGUGAGUAACACGUGGAUAACCUACCUAUAAGACUGGGAUAACUUCGGGAAACCGGAGCUAAUACCGGAUAAUAUUUCGAACCGCAUGGUUCAAAAGUGAAAGACGGUCUUGCUGUCACUUAUAGAUGGAUCCGCGCUGCAUUAGCUAGUUGGUAAGGUAACGGCUUACCAAGGCAACGAUGCAUAGCCGACCUGAGAGGGUGAUCGGCCACACUGGAACUGAGACACGGUCCAGACUCCUACGGGAGGCAGCAGUAGGGAAUCUUCCGCAAUGGGCGAAAGCCUGACGGAGCAACGCCGCGUGAGUGAUGAAGGUCUUCGGAUCGUAAAACUCUGUUAUUAGGGAAGAACAUAUGUGUAAGUAACUGUGCACAUCUUGACGGUACCUAAUCAGAAAGCCACGGCUAACUACGUGCCAGCAGCCGCGGUAAUACGUAGGUGGCAAGCGUUAUCCGGAAUUAUUGGGCGUAAAGCGCGCGUAGGCGGUUUUUUAAGUCUGAUGUGAAAGCCCACGGCUCAACCGUGGAGGGUCAUUGGAAACUGGAAAACUUGAGUGCAGAAGAGGAAAGUGGAAUUCCAUGUGUAGCGGUGAAAUGCGCAGAGAUAUGGAGGAACACCAGUGGCGAAGGCGACUUUCUGGUCUGUAACUGACGCUGAUGUGCGAAAGCGUGGGGAUCAAACAGGAUUAGAUACCCUGGUAGUCCACGCCGUAAACGAUGAGUGCUAAGUGUUAGGGGGUUUCCGCCCCUUAGUGCUGCAGCUAACGCAUUAAGCACUCCGCCUGGGGAGUACGACCGCAAGGUUGAAACUCAAAGGAAUUGACGGGGACCCGCACAAGCGGUGGAGCAUGUGGUUUAAUUCGAAGCAACGCGAAGAACCUUACCAAAUCUUGACAUCCUUUGACAACUCUAGAGAUAGAGCUUUCCCCUUCGGGGGACAAAGUGACAGGUGGUGCAUGGUUGUCGUCAGCUCGUGUCGUGAGAUGUUGGGUUAAGUCCCGCAACGAGCGCAACCCUUAAGCUUAGUUGCCAUCAUUAAGUUGGGCACUCUAAGUUGACUGCCGGUGACAAACCGGAGGAAGGUGGGGAUGACGUCAAAUCAUCAUGCCCCUUAUGAUUUGGGCUACACACGUGCUACAAUGGACAAUACAAAGGGCAGCGAAACCGUGAGGUCAAGCAAAUCCCAUAAAGUUGUUCUCAGUUCGGAUUGUAGUCUGCAACUCGACUACAUGAAGCUGGAAUCGCUAGUAAUCGUAGAUCAGCAUGCUACGGUGAAUACGUUCCCGGGUCU